rnacentral:rRNA from 1 species
GACGAACGCUGGCGGCGUGCCUAAUACAUGCAAGUCGAACGCAUUUUCUUUCACCGUAGCUUGCUACACCGAAAGAAAAUGAGUGGCGAACGGGUGAGUAACACGUGGGUAACCUGCCCAUCAGCGGGGGAUAACACUUGGAAACAGGUGCUAAUACCGCAUAAUUCCAUUUACCGCAUGGUAGAUGGAUGAAAGGCGCUUUUGCGUCACUGAUGGAUGGACCAGCGGUGCAUUAGCUAGUUGGUGGGGUAACGGCCUACCAAGGCUGCGAUGCAUAGCCGACCUGAGAGGGUGAUCGGCCACACUGGGACUGAGACACGGCCCAGACUCCUACGGGAGGCAGCAGUAGGGAAUCUUCGGCAAUGGACGCAAGUCUGACCGAGCAACGCCGCGUGAGUGAAGAAGGUUUCCGGAUCGUAAAACUCUGUUGUUAGAGAAGAACAAGGAUGAGAGUGGAAAGUUCAUCCCUUGACGGUAUCUAACCAGAAAGCCACGGCUAACUACGUGCCAGCAGCCGCCGUAACAC